rnacentral:rRNA from 1 species
CAGUCGCCACGGUAAUACGUAGGUGGCGAGCGUUGUCCGGAAUUAUUGGGCGUAAAGGGAGCGCAGGCGGGCGAGUAAGUCUUUCUUAAAAGUGCGGGGCUCAACCCCGUGAGGGGAGAGAAACUACUCAUCUUGAGUGCAGGAGAGGAAAGCGGAAUUCCUAGUGUAGCGGUGAAAUGCGUAGAUAUUAGGAAGAACACCAGUGGCGAAGGCGGCUUUCUGGACUGUAACUGACGCUGAGGCUCGAAAGCCAGGGGAGCGAACGGGAUUAGAUACCCCUGUAGUCCCUGUCUCUUAUACC